UUGCCAGACUCCUACGGGAGGCAGCAGUGGGGGAUAUUGCACAAUGGGGGGAACCCUGAUGCAGCGACGCCGCGUGGGUGAAGAAGCGCCUCGGCGCGUAAAGCCCUGUCAGCAGGGAAGAAAAUGACGGUACCUGAAGAAGAAGCCCCGGCUAACUACGUGCCAGCAGCCGCGGUAAUACGUAGGGGGCAAGCGUUAUCCGGAUUUACUGGGUGUAAAGGGAGCGUAGACGGCAGAGCAAGUCUGAAGUGAAAGCCCGCGGCCCAACUGCGGGACUGCUUUGGAAACUGCCCGGCUAGAGUGCUGGAGAGGUAAGCGGAAUUCCUAGUGUAGCGGUGAAAUGCGUAGAUAUUAGGAGGAACACCAGUGGCGAAGGCGGCCUACUGGACGGUGACUGACGCUGAGGCUCGAAAGCGUGGGGAGCAAACAGGAUUAGAUACCCCAGUA
rnacentral:rRNA from 1 species